rnacentral:rRNA from 1 species
UACGUAGGUGGCAAGCGUUGUUCGGAAUUAUUGGGCGUAAAGGGCGCGUAGGCGGCAUGUUAAGUCGGCUGUGAAAGCCUGGGGCUCAACCCCAGAGGGUCGGCCGAUACUGGCAAGCUAGAGUACGGAAGAGGUAGCUGGAAUUCCCGGUGUAGCGGUGAAAUGCGUAGAUAUCUGGAGGAACACCGGUGGCGAAGGCGGCAUCCUGGACCGACACUGACGCUGAGGAGCGAAAGCCAGGGGAGCAAACGGG